rnacentral:rRNA from 2 species
AAAUUGAAGAGUUUGAUCAUGGCUCAGAUUGAACGCUGGCGGCAGGCCUAACACAUGCAAGUCGAACGGUAACAGGAAGAAGCUUGCUUCUUUGCUGACGAGUGGCGGACGGGUGAGUAAUGUCUGGGAAACUGCCUGAUGGAGGGGGAUAACUACUGG